rnacentral:rRNA from 1 species
UGAAUCAGCUUGUGUGUUAGUGGAACGGUCUGGAAAGUCCGACGGUACAGGGUGAUAGUCCCGUACACCAAAAUGCACAGGCUGUGAACUCGAAGAGUAGGGCGGGACACGUGGUAUCCUGUCUGAAUAUGGGGGGACCAUCCUCCAAGGCUAAAUACUCCUGACUGACCGAUAGUGAACCAGUACCGUGAGGGAAAGGCGAAAAGAACCCCGGCGAGGGGAGUGAAAAAGAACCUGAAACCGUGUACGUACAAGCAGUGGGAGCACCUUCGGGUGUGACUGCGUACCUUUUGUAUAAUGGGUCAGCGACUUAUAUUCUGUAGCAAGGUUAACCGUAUAGGGGAGCCGCAGGGAAACCGAGUCUUAACUGGGCGUUAAGUUGCAGGGUAUAGACCCGAAACCCGGUGAUCUAGCCAUGGGCAGGUUGAAGGUUGGGUAACACUAACUGGAGGACCGAACCGACUAAUGUUGAAAAAUUAGCGGAUGACUUGUGGCUGGGGGUGAAAGGCCAAUCAAACCGGGAGAUAGCUGGUUCUCCCCGAAAGCUAUUUAGGUAGCGCCUCGUGAAUUCAUCUUCGGGGGUAGAGCACUGUUUCGGCUAGGGGGUCAUCCCGACUUACCAACCCGAUGCAAACUACGAAUACCGAAGAAUGUUAUCACGGGAGACACACGGCGGGUGCUAACGUCCGUCGUGAAGAGGGAAACAACCCAGACCGCCAGCUAAGGUCCCAAAGUCAUGGUUAAGUGGGAAACGAUGUGGGAAGGCACAGACAGCCAGGAUGUUGGCUUAGAAGCAGCCAUCAUUUAAAGAAAGCGUAAUAGCUCACUGGUCGAGUCGGCCUGCGCGGAAGAUGUAACGGGGCUAAACCAUGCACCGAAGCUGCGGCAGCGACACUAUGUGUUGUUGGGUAGGGGAGCG